UACGAAGGGGGCUAGCGUUGCUCGGAAUCACUGGGCGUAAAGCGCACGUAGGCGGCUUUUUAAGUCAGGGGUGAAAUCCUGGAGCUCAACUCCAGAACUGCCUUUGAUACUGGCGGACUCGAGUCCGGGAGAGGUGAGUGGAACUGCGAGUGUAGAGGUGAAAUUCGUAGAUAUUCGCAAGAACACCAGUGGCGAAGGCGGCUCACUGGCCCGGUACUGACGCUGGGGUGCGAAAGCGUGGGGAGCAAACAGG
rnacentral:rRNA from 1 species